CACAGUCCCACCUUCAGGCGUUUGGACUCAGUGAAGGUUGUUAGUGCCCAGCAGUGUGGGCUGAAUCUCCGUGGGGUUUAGAGAGACGACAGAAUCCCAGAUCCACGUCCCAUCGUUCCCACUUUGGGGAUCGGCACUCUGGCUGUUUCGUGAGGGAGAGAGAGGUUGAUUCCAUACCCUGGCUAUUGUGAAUACUGCUGUAGUAAACAUGGGAGAACAUAUAUCUGUUUGAGGAACUCAGAGUGGUUUUCCAGAUGGGAAUCACAUUGCUCUCUGUCCCUGAGAUCUUGCUGGAGGCAGGGCUACUCAGUCCCUCUUUGCCAGACUGAUAUUGGAAAAGCAGUUUCUAUUGAGCCCCCAAAUGAAGAGAGACUGCAGAUGAAAAGGAGGCAAGACUCACAAGGCCUUGAUCUUCAUACCAGACCCAUUAGCACCUACAGGACCUUGUACUGGGAUUUAGUCUGUGCUAUCAGCUUCUUCAAAGAGAGAGAGGUUGUUGAAUUGAUAUUGGAAAAGCAGUUUCCCAUUGAAUCUCAAGUGAAGAGAGAGUGAAGAUGAAAAGGAACUCUUCAUGUGGAUGUCUGAGCUCAUAUCAGGUCUGAAGGAGGCAGAUUCUGAGGAUUUGAGUCAUGAUGGCUGCCAAAGCUUCUACUCCUGAUUUAAAGGGCAACAAUCCUAGGAGACCAGCAGCACUUACAUCCCUGGUAGGAUAUGACACCUGCAUAUGGUCCAGAAGUGACAAAAGCUAAUUAUCAGGAUGGCAGUCCUUAUAACCAGAUGCUUAUCAACAUUCUUCACUGCAUUCUGAAGAUGAAUUUCUACACGGGAAAUUGUUGAUAUUUGUUUUUAGCGGGCAGAUAAGGAAGGAAGAAAAAGGCCCUGGUGAGAAACCCAUUGUACCUUCUGGAUAUGAUCACUACCCAAUUUUAUCAGUGUCAUUGGUCACUAACUCAGUGCCUAGUAUGGUACCAGGCACAGAGUUACCCAACAAUGUACAAUAAUGGCUGGAUUCUCUUUCUCCCUGUGCAACUUUUCAUGCAUGUGACUGAACUUAUAUUAAAUGUCUGAAGGAGGUUAGUUGUGAGGAUCUGGGACAUGAUGGGUGCUGAAGCUUCUCCAGAUUUGAAGGGGAGCAGUCCUCAAGAGACCCCUGGCACUUCCCUUGCUGGUGAGAUAUGAUGCCUGAUUCUAAUGAGUUCAUAGAUCUGAACAAAAGCACAUUGUGGAAUAGCUCCUGUGAGGUUCACAAUAUUAUCCAGAAGAUGAGAAACUACUCUUUGUAGUAAUCUUGAUUCCCAUCUAAGAGAUGCCUUACUUUUAUCAUAAAGCAAUGAAUUGUUGUUCACUUGAGGAAGGAACUUGAUGUUUAACAUGUCUUUGCAACAAAUUUACAUAUAUUUUCUGCCUUUAUGAAUACUUAUCAGUGAUGCCCAUGUAUUUCUCAGAUGGGUGCUGAACUAUACAGUUAGAAGGUUAGAAGAUCUUCCUAGCAAUUUGUGAUUAUAGUAUGCAUUCUUCCAUGGUUUCCAUAUUUUUUGUCUAGUCUAUAAUUAAAUUUUCUACGAAGCCAGAAAUUAAUUAAGUGCUACCUAAAAAUAUUAAAAUGUGAGGUACAAGAAAUUGGCAUUUUCCAAAUUAAUACUUGCAAUGUAGUUUGCCCUGUUAUAAUGAUAUCCAGCUAUGUCCUCUAAGAUAACUAGAUUUUUCUAAAUAUCAUUAUUAUUUCCCAGGACAUUGCAAUUUCAGUUCUGUAGUACCUGGCCUACCUACCUUUCCCACUGCCUUGGCCCCAGGUAAACACAGCAUGUCUGUCACAAUAUAUUACUUUACAUGUCCAGAAAUAUAUUUCAAUAGAAUCAUAGAAGUGGCUUCUUUUUUUUUUAAAUCAACACCUGGCUUUUUUCAUUCACUCUACUUAUUUUUAUAUUUAUCUACUUUAUUGCAUUUAUCUAUUGAUAUAGUUCGUUCUUUUUGUUUGCUAAAUACUAUUCCAGUAUACAACUAUAGCAAACAUUUCAUUAUCCAUCCAUUUGUCUAUGGACAUUUUGGUUUUUAAUUUGAGGCUCUUGUAAAUAAAGCUGCUAUGAACAUU